AGAGAACUGGCUGGAAGUUCUGAAGUUCCUCCUUUGAGGUAUGUGAUAACAAACCCUGAGGACACCGUCAUCCACGCGACUGACCUCGUGUUCGUCCUGUGCCGCAAACCGAAGUAUAUUCAACACAAAAUGACAACAAAUAAAACUCUGUGAUGAUCUACACAUCUUUACAAGUAUGAUAGUGGCGCAAGACAGGUGCUCCAUGGUUCUUCAGAUUCUCCGAUGGCCGAUGGUGGUUGGUGGUUGAACGUAAUUUAGCUAAAGCAACAUUGAGGCCCAGGCCUUGUUGAAUGUUGUUCUCUGGGCUUGCUAUGACCGCUUCCGUCACCACGAUCAUUUUCGAGAGUUUCGACGGCCAAACUCGGUCUUCUCGGUGGAUGUACCUGAAUGCGGGCAAUUCAUUUAUGUCAGUAGUUUGUUUUUAGUAUUUUCAAAUUCGUAACAGAAUAAAAAAGUUAUGUAUACAUAUUUAUAUAAUAUAUUACAUUACACCAGUAAGAUUGGUGUAAUG